AUUGAACGCUGGCGGCAGGCAGAACAAAUGCAAGUCGAGCGAGCGGCGGACGGGUGAGUAAUGUCUGGGAAACUGCCUGAUGGAGGGGGAUAACUACUGGAAACGGUAGCUAAUACCGCAUACAAUCAGAUGUGCCCAGAUGGGAUUAGCUAGUAGGUGGGGUAAAGGCUCACCGUGGCGACGAUCCCUAGCUGGUCGGAGAGGAUGGCCAGCCAAACUGGAACUGCGACACGGUCCAGACUCCUACGUGAGGCAGCAGUGGGGAAUAUUGCACAAUGGGCGCAAGCCGUUUGCAGCCAUGCCGCGUGUGUGAAGAAGGCCUUCGGGUUGUAAAGCACGUUCAGCGAGGAGGCGUUACUCGCAGAAGAAGCACCGGCUAACUCCGUGCCAGCAGCCGCGGUAAUAC
rnacentral:rRNA from 1 species